GCACUGCUGAAGAGUUGAACAAUAGGACGAAACGGCUGUCCAGUGC
rnacentral:hammerhead_ribozyme from 1 species